rnacentral:rRNA from 1 species
GAAUUCACUAGUGAUUUCUGGUUGAUCCUGCCAGACCCGACUGCUAUCAGAGUGGGACUAAGCCAUGCGAGUCAACGUAGUAAUACGUGGCAUACGGCUCAGUAACACGUAGUCAACAUGCCCAGGGGACGUGGAUAACCUCGGGAAACUGAGGAUAAACCGCGAUAGGCCAUAAUUCCUGGAAUGGUUUAUGACUGAAACCUACAUGGCCCCUGGAUUGGACUGCGGCCGAUCAGGCUGUUGGUGAGGUAAUGGCCCACCGAACCUGUAACCGGUACGGGCUCUGAGAGGAGAAGCCCGGAGAUGGGCACUGAGACAAGGGCCCAGGCCCUAUGGGGCGCAGCAGGCGCGAAACCUCUGCAAUAGGCGAAAGCCUGACAGGGUUACUCUGAGUGGUUCCCGCUAAGGGGAUCUUUUGGCACCUCUAAAAAUGGUGCAGAAUAAGGGGUGGGCAAGCCUGGUGUCAGCCGCCGCGGUAAUACCAGCACCCCGAGUGGUCGGGACGAUUAUUGGGCCUAAAGCAUCCGUAGCCGGUCAUGCAAGUCUUCCGUUAAAUCCACCCGCUCAACGGUUGGGCUGCGGAGGAUACUACGUGGCUAGGAGGCGGGAGAGGCAAGCGGUACUCAGUGGGUAGGGGUAAAAUCCUUUGAUCCAUUGAAGACCACCAGUGGCGAAGGCGGCUUGCCAGAACGCGCUCGACGGUGAGGGAUGAAAGCUGGGGGAGCAAACCGGAUUAGAUACCCGGGUAGUCCCAGCUGUAAACGAUGCAGACUCGGUGAUGGGAUGGCCUCGAGCUAUCCCAGUGCCGCAGGGAAGCCGUUAAGUCUGCCGCCUGGGGAGUACGGUCGCAAGACUGAAACUUAAAGGAAUUGGCGGGGGAGCACCACAAGGGGUGAAGCCUGCGGUUCAAUUGGAUUCAACGCCGGAAAUCGAAUUCCCGCGGCC